AAAUAUUAAGGAGGGGUUACAUGGAUUAUAAGA
rnacentral:sRNA from 1 species